CCUACGGGUGGCAGCAGUGAGGAAUAUUGGUCAAUGGCCGGAAGGCUGAACCAGCCAAGUCGCGUGAGGGAAGACGGUCCUAUGGAUUGUAAACCUCUUUAGGCGGGGAGCAAUGCCGUGCACGCGUGCCCGGAGGGAGAGUACCCGCAGAAUAAGCGUCGGCUAACUCCGUGCCAGCAGCCGCGGUAAUACGGAGGAUGCGAGCGUUAUCCGGAUUUAGUGGGUUUAAAGGGUGCGUAGGCGGAUUUUUAAGUCAGCGGUAAAAUGUCCGGGCUCAACCCGGGCCGGCCGUUGAAACUGGGGAUCUUGAGUGGGCGAGAAGUAUGCGGAAUGCGGGGUGUAGCGGUGAAAUGCAUAGAUAUCACGCAGAACUCCGAUUGCGAAGGCAGCAUACCGGCGCCCGACUGACGCUGAGGCAUGAAAGCGUGGGGAUCGAACAGGAUUAGAUACCCGAGUAGUC
rnacentral:rRNA from 1 species